UACGAAGGGGGGCUAGCGUUGUUCGGAAUUACUGGGCGUAAAGGGCGCGUAGGUGGCCUGUUAAGUCGGGUGUGAAAUCCCUGGGCUCAACCCAGGAAGUGCACUCGAAAACUGGCAGGCUUGAGUACUGAAGAGGGGUCGCGGAAUUCCCCGGUGUAGAGGUGAAAAUUCGUAGAUAUCGGGAGGAACACCAGUGGCGAAGGCGGCGACCUGGGGCAGAUACUGACACUGAGGUGCGAAAAGCGUGGGGGAGCAAACAGG
rnacentral:rRNA from 1 species